rnacentral:rRNA from 1 species
CCUACGGGAGGCAGCAGUGGGGAAUAUUGCACAAUGGGGGAAACCCUGAUGCAGCGACGCCGCGUGAGUGAAGACGUAAUUCGUUAUGUAAAGCUCUAUCAGCAGGGAAGAAAAUUACGGUACCUGAGUAAUAAUCCCCGGCUAACUACGUUCCAGCCGCCGCGGUACUACGUAGGGGGCAAGCGUUAUCCGGAUUUACUGGGUGUAAAGGGAGCGUAGACGGAAGUGCAAGUCUGGAGUGAAAGGCGGGGGCUCAACCCUCGGACUGCACUGGAAACUGUACGGCUGGAGUGCAGGAGAGGUAAGUGGAAUUCGUAGUGUAGCGGUGAAAUGCGUAGAUAUUAGGAGGAACACCAGUGGCGAAGGCGGCUUACUGGACUGUAACUGACGUUGAGGCUCGAAAGCGUGGGGAGCAAACAGGAUUAGAUACCCUAGUAGUC